rnacentral:rRNA from 1 species
GAACUGAGACACGGUCCAGACUCCUACGGGAGGCAGCAGUGCUGAAUAUUCGCCAAUGCGCGAAAGCGUGACGGAGCGACGCCGCGUGCGGGACGAAGGCCUUCGGAUUGUAAACCGCUUUCAGGGAUUAGAAAACCCGUGUAGUGAACAACUAUGUGAUUGUAGUCCCAGAAGAAGCACCGGCUAAUUUCGUGCCAGCAGCCGCGGUAAUACGAGAGGUGCAAGCGUUGUUCGGAAUCACUGGGCAUAAAGGGUGCGUAGGCGGUGCAUCAAGUCGGGUGUGAAAUCCCUUCGCUUAACGGAGGAACUGCACUCGAUACUGGUGCGCUAGAGGGUCAAAGGGGCAAGCGGAAUUCUAGGUGUAGCGGUGAAAUGCGUAGAUAUCUGGGAGAACGCCAAGGGCGAAGGCAGCUUGCUGGGUGACAACUGACGCUGAGGCACGAAAGCUAGGGGAGCAAACAGGAUUAGAUACCCUGGUAGUCCUAGCCGUAAACGAUGAGCACUUUGUGUCGGGAGACCUGAUUCUUUCGGAGCCGUAGCAAAUGUGUUAAGUGCUCCGCCUGGGGAGUAUGGUCGCAAGGCUAAAACUCAAAGGAAUUGACGGGGGCCCGCACAAGCGGAGGAGCAUGUGGUUUAAUUCGAUGCAACGCGAAGAACCUUACCUGGGCUUGACAUGCUAGAAGUAGAAUCCUGAAAGGGGGACGAACCGUAAAAUCGGUAACUAGCACAGGUGCUGCAUGGCUGUCGUCAGCUCGUGCCGUGAGAUGUUGGGUUAAGUCCCGUAACGAGCGCAACCCCUGUCGUCAGUUGCUACCAGGUUAUGCUGGGCACUCUGACGAGACUGCCGGUGUUAAACCGGAGGAAGGUGGGGAUGACGUCAAGUCAUCAUGGCCCUUACGGCCAGGGCUACACACGUGCUACAAUGGCAGGUACAGAGG